GCCAGCAUGGUGUAGUGGUUUGAAUGUUAGACUAUGGCUCUGGAGAUCAGGGUUCGAAUCCUUGCUUAAGCA